rnacentral:rRNA from 1 species
GACGAACGCUGGCGGCGUGCUUAACACAUGCAAGUCGAACGGAAAGGCCUCUUUCGGGGGGUACUCGAGUGGCGAACGGGUGAGUAACACGUGAGUAACCUGCCCUUGACUUUGGGAUAACUUCAGGAAACUGGGGCUAAUACCGGAUAGGAGCUCCUGCUGCAUGGUGGGGGUUGGAAAGUUUCGGCGGUUGGGGAUGGACUCGCGGCUUAUCAGCUUGUUGGUGGGGUAGUGGCUUACCAAGGCUUUGACGGGUAGCCGGCCUGAGAGGGUGACCGGCCACAUUGGGACUGAGAUACGGCCCAGACUCCUACGGGAGGCAGCAGUGGGGAAUAUUGCACAAUGGGCGGAAGCCUGAUGCAGCAACGCCGUGUGCGGGAUGACGGCCUUCGGGUUGUAAACCGCUUUCGCUCAUGACGAAGCUUUGUGUGACGGUAGUGGGUAAAGAAGCACCGGCUAACUACGUG